UCAAUGAAUGUAAUGCAUUUGUGACUGUUUUCCUGCUUUGGGAGAGAGCGUAAUGUACUAGUUUGGAUGUUCCUGGUGACUGACAGCUGAACUUUUGCUUCUCAAUCAUCUCUGGGUCCUACUGCUUUGAUGUGGAGUCUGUAGUUACUGUGAAGAACCAAGAACAAAGUUGAGAAAAUUGAGCCUACUGUGAUGGCUUGUUCUACACAGCUUGCAGCAGAACCUCAUGUUGAAGAAAGUGCGCUGCCUGUGCACACAAACACAGAUUUUCCCCGAGUGGCUCCAGCUUAGAGGAGUGGCUGCCAAGUCUCAGCAAAAUCAGAAGUCUCUUCUGAGCAUAAAGAAGCCUCUGUGACACACAGAAGAGCAUCUCAGCUGACAUUUUGGCAGCUGAGCCACCAGAGUCCCCAGGGUUGAGAGGUCAGCUGUUAAAUAUAACUUUCUUACCAUGAAUAUCCACUCAAGCCCUCCUGGAAAGUCUGUGACACAGAACGUCCCAGUGAAGGUGAGAGAAUCCAUGAAGUCUUUCCUAUGGCCUGGGAAUUUAGAACAGGGUGGCCAUCCCUGAAUUACUCAUGCACAAAACACCUGUUGUCCAAAAAGAGAGAAGAAUCUAGUAGUCGUUAAAGCAAUAUAGGCAGAUUACCUCAGCUUAAUCACCAAUCUGUUCAACUGUCAGUGCCUGGGCCUAAGAGACCAUACCAGUGAGAUACCAGGGAUGGAGCGGAUACCUAUAAGUACUAAUAGCGCGAGCCAUCCAGUACAUCCCCACCCCACUUUGAUUGGUAGACACAUUGCGCCGAUUGAGUGAGUUCUAUCGAUGGUACAGAUGAAGAAACUUGGUCUUACUGAGGAAGAGGAUCUAGCCUUCGAAUGCGUGUGAUCUGGGACACUGAGCAUCAAGUAAUUGCCAAAAGUCUUGCCUUUGUAAAGUUUGGGAGAUACUGAAUGGGUGAACAUGAAGAAAACUAUUUUCAAAAGAGAAGAAGUGCCCACAAAGAAGAUAAAGCCAAGUAAAAGACUAGAUGUCAGAUGAGAGUAUUGGGAUCACCACAUUGCACCUUGUGUCCUCGGGAUCAUCUACUGAAGUUAAGCCUUUAGGGAAAAAUGAAAAGAAGAUAAAGAAGGCCCAAGGGAUGAGGAUGCACAGAGCAUGUGGGAUUAGAUGUCACUGGCACUAAACACUCAAGAAGGCCCGUGGCAGAGCCAAGGCCUCACUGCUGUCCUCCCAGUGUCCCGCAUCACCAGAGCUCUUAUCGUACCUGCAC